AGUGAACGUUGGCGGCGUGGAUUAGGCAUGCAAGUCGAGCGAGAACCGUAGCAAUACGGGGACAGCGGCGAAAGGGACAGUAAUGUGUAGGUACCUACCCCCGGGUUCGGGAUAGCUGCGGGAAACUGCAGGUAAUACCGAAUAAUGUCUCCGGACCAAAGGUGUGAUUCCACCUGGGGAGGGGCCUGCAUCCUAUUAGCUUGUUGGUGGGGUAACGGCCUACCAAGGCGACGAUGGGUAGCGGGUGUGAGAGCAUGACCCGCGUCAUUGGGACUGAGACACUGCCCAGACACCGACGGGUGGCUGCAGUCGAGAAUCUUCGGCAAUGGGCGCAAGCCUGACCGAGCGACGCCGCGUGCGGGAUGAAGGCCUUCGGGUUGUAAACCGCUGUCGUAGAGGAGGAAAUGCAGGGGGGUUCUCCCCUUUGCUUGACCUAUUCUAGGAGGAAGUACGGGCUAAGUUCGUGCCAGCAGCCGCCGUAA
rnacentral:rRNA from 1 species